AUUGAACGCUGGCGGCAUGCUUUACACAUGCAAGUCGAACGGUAACAGGCCUUCGGGUGCUGACGAGUGGCGAACGGGUGAGUAAUGCAUCGGAACGUACCCAGAGGUGGGGGAUAACGCAGCGAAAGCUGUGCUAAUACCGCAUGUGAUCUGAGGAUGAAAGCGGGGGACCGAGCAGCAAUGUUUGGCCUCGCGCCUUUGGAGCGGCCGAUGUCGGAUUAGUUAGUUGGUGGGGUAAAGGCCUACCAAGGCGACGAUCCGUAGCUGGUCUGAGAGGACGACCAGCCACACUGGGACUGAGACACGGCCCAGACUCCUACGGGAGGCAGCAGUGGGGAAUUUUGGACAAUGGGCGCAAGCCUGAUCCAGCAAUGCCGCGUGCGGGAAGAAGGCCUUCGGGUUGUAAACCGCUUUUGGCAGGAACGAAACGGUGUCCGCUAAUACCGGGCGCUAAUGACGGUACCUGCAGAAUAAGCACCGGCUAACUACGUG
rnacentral:rRNA from 1 species